AUUGAACGCUGGCGGCAUGCCUUACACAUGCAAGUCGAACGGCAGCACGGGUGCUUGCCUUUGCUGGCGUGUGGCGCACGGGGGAGUGUUACAUGGGGACAUGCUACGUAGUGGGGGAUAGUACGGUCAAAGACGGAUUACUAAUGCAUACGAUCAACGGAAGCAGGAGGGGGCACUACGGACCUCGGGUCUUGCGGUUGGUUGAAGACUGAUCCGCGCGUCAUUAGCUAGUUGGUAAGGUAAAGGCCUACCAAGGCGACGAUCAAUAGCUGAUCUGAGAGGGCGACCGGCCACACUGGAACUGAGACACGGCCCAGACUCCUACGGGAGGCAGCAGUAGGGAAUCUUGCGCAAUGGGCGAAAGCCUGACGGAGCAAUGCCGCGUGAGUGAUGAAGGUCUUCGGAUUGUAAAACACUUUUAUCCGGGAAGAACACAUGGGUCCGUAAACGUGCAGAUCUUGACGGUACCGAAAGAGAAAGCACCGGCUAACUACGUG
rnacentral:rRNA from 1 species